UACGUAGGGGGCUAGCGUUGUCCGGAAUCAUUGGGCGUAAAGAGCGUGUAGGCGGUCCGGUAAGUCCGCUGUGAAAGUCGGGGGCUCAACCCUCGAAUGCCGGUGGAUACUGUCGGGCUAGAGUACGGAAGAGGCGAGUGGAAUUCCUGGUGUAGCGGUGAAAUGCGCAGAUAUCAGGAGGAACACCUAUUGCGAAAGCAGCUCGCUGGGACGGUACUGACGCUGAGACGCGAAAGCGUGGGGAGCAAACAGG
rnacentral:rRNA from 1 species